GGUCUUAUAGUUAAUAGAUAAUUUUAAAUUGCAAGUUUAAAGUAGGUUUUAAACCUGAGUCCU
rnacentral:tRNA from 1 species